rnacentral:ncRNA from 1 species
AGGUGUUAGAGUCGGAUCGUUUGGCCACAACAACUCCAUAGCCGCCGCCUGUGAUGGGGAAGCCGGUCGAAAUCCGGCACUGUCGCGCAACCGUGGGUCACCGGAAGGUGACGAGUCGGGUCACCGCACGGGCCGGUCUGUCAGGA